rnacentral:rRNA from 1 species
UACGUAGGGUGCGAGCGUUGUCCGGAAUUAUUGGGCGUAAAGGGCUCGUAGGCGGUUUGUCGCGUCGGGAGUAAAAACCUACAGCUUAACUGUGGGCUUGCUUUCGAUACGGGCAGACUAGAGGUAUGCAGGGGAGAACGGAAUUCCUGGUGUAGCGGUGAAAUGCGCAGAUAUCAGGAGGAACACCGGUGGCGAAGGCGGUUCUCUGGGCCUUACCUGACGCUGAGGAGCGAAAGCGUGGGGAGCGAACGGG